rnacentral:rRNA from 1 species
UACGGAGGGUGCGAGCGUUAUCCGGAAUUACUGGGUUUAAAGGGUGCGUAGGCGGCCAAGUAAGUCAGGAGUGAAAGUUUGCGGCUCAACCGUAAAAUUGCUUUUGAUACUGCUUAGCUAGAAUCAGGAUGAGGUCAGCGGAAUGUGGCAUGUAGCGGUGAAAUGCAUAGAUAUGCCAUAGAACACCAAUUGCGAAGGCAGCUGGCUAGACCUGCAUUGACGCUGAGGCACGAAAGCGUGGGGAGCGAACAGG